rnacentral:rRNA from 1 species
GGAGGGUGCAAGCGUUAAUCGGAAUUACUGGGCGUAAAGCGCGCGUAGGCGGUCUGGUCAGUCGGAUGUGAAAGCCCUGGGCUUAACCUGGGAAUUGCAUUCGAUACUGCCAAACUAGAAUGUUGGAGAGGGAAGUGGAAUUUCCGGUGUAGCGGUGAAAUGCGUAGAUAUCGGAAGGAACACCAGUGGCGAAGGCGGCUUCCUGGCCAAACAUUGACGCUGAGGUGCGAAAGCGUGGGUAGCGAACAGGAUUAGAUACCCUGGUAGUCCACGCCGUAAACGAUGAGAACUAGAUGUCGGGAGGGUUUAGCCUCUCGGUGUCGCAGCUAACGCGUUAAGUUCUCCGCCUGGGGGAGUACGGUGGCAACACUA